rnacentral:rRNA from 1 species
GCUACGGCCAUAUCAGCCUGGGUACGCCCGAUCUCGUCUGAUCUCGGAAGCUAAGCAGGGUCGGGCCUGGUUAGUACUUGGAUGUGAGACCGCCUGGGAAUACCAGGUGCUGUAAGCA